GUACUAAGAAAAUAUACUGCAAAAGAUACAGCUUCAGUAAAUUCCACAACAAAAUCUGAUUCACAUUGGAGGUGUCUUUGCUCAAAACAGAUUUAUGGAACCAAAUGAAUCUUCAGUUACCCUUGUUAUUUCAGACAGUCCAAGGACUAAGUGCAUUUAUGCUUAGACCACUGGAUUUUUAAUAUACUUCCCUAUCUGGUUUCUUUACAGGUCUGACAACUGUGACCAAGCUUAUUUGUAAAGAUUUGCUGCAUCCAUGCAAGGGAAAAGCAGAGCAGUUGGCCAUCAGCUAGGAAAAGCAGGAAGAACCAAACAGAAGACUUUCUGAAACAGACAUAGAGUGUAUUUCUCCCAGAAUACAAUAAUAGGACUUCUCUGCCACUGUAAAAAAAACAGCAUGAGGAGGCACCUGACUUAAAAGAGCAUGCAGACUAAUGACUUUAGUCUUGAAGACUUUUAUUUGCCCUCAUACUGUAGAGAAUUUAGGCACAAUCUGAUUUAUGGAUGAUGUUCUGCAGGUGGGUUUGAAGGAAACCGAGGUUUGUGUUAAGAUUCAGCAGCCUGCAUCCUCAAUAGAACAAGAAAAAAGCCUCAGAUCCACUGUUUAUCCUUCUCAGAAAAAUGUUAGGUAUGUCUUAUUGUUUUGAUUUAUAAGCAUUUGUUCAGCUUCUUGCCAUUGGUGAUGUCAAUUGAAAAAAUCAAAAAUAGGUAUUACAUUGAGUUUUUUUGUUUCUCCUCUCAAGAUCACGUUCACUGGAAAAACUGCACAAAAGGCAUUUACAGAGGGAGCUUCUGAGGAUGGAAGGUCAGCUGUAUUAUUAAUAAUUAU
rnacentral:lncRNA from 1 species